rnacentral:ribozyme from 1 species
UCGCAUCCCUCCUCCUCCUCCUCUACAUCUCAUUCGCCGUCUACCACGAUAAACCCAACAUCU